rnacentral:lncRNA from 1 species
AAUAAACAUUACCAAUCCAUUAAAAAUCCGUCAGCCCAAUCUCAUCCAGUAAAAUAAAUUAUUGUCUGUUUUCGAAGUUAUAUGGAAGUGUUAGUACUUAGUCCAGAUAAUUAUGGCGCAUUGCAAGGCAUUUUUUCUAAGGAGAAGUAUUGACUUAUAAUUUAGGGGAAUGGAACCAAUAAAUUGAUCGGAUCCGAUAUGACCUUCCCAGUAACGGAGCACCAUAGAUGUAAUACCAGGGUAUUGUAUUACAUCUAUGGGAGCACCUAUUAACUUUGAGGUAAAUUUUAUUAGUGUCAGACUCGGUGGUCUCACAAGUAAAUCAGAGUGAAUAUUAUAUUGCAUGCACAUUAAUUAGCAGAG